CAGAGGGAGAGGUGGAGAAAGUGGAGUGGAGUCAACCCAGCAUUAACCCUGUGGGGCUCAGAACGAGGUGGCUUCCUGACCAGGCUCCUUCCCCAGGACUCAACACCAGGUAACUGACCAGGCUCCUUCUCCCAGUACUCAACACCAGGCUCCUUCCCCCAGUACUCAACACCAGGCUCCUUCCCCCAGUACUCAACACCAGGCUCCUUCCCCCAGUACUCAACACCAGGCUCCUUCCCCUGUACUCAACACCAGGCUCCUUCCCCAGUACUCAACACCAGGUAACUAACCAGGCUCCUUCCCCCAGUACUCAACACCAGGCCCCUUCUCCCAGUACUCAACACCAGGUAACUGACCAGGCUCCUUCUCCCAGUACUCAACACCAGGCUCCUUCCCCCAGUACUCAACACCAGGCUCCUUCCCCCAGUACUCAACACCAGGUAACUGACCAGGCUCCUUCUCCCAGUACUCAACACCAGGUAACUGACCAGACUCCUUCCCCCAGUACUCAACACCAGGUAACUGACCAGGCUCCUUCUCCCAGUACUCAACACCAGGCUCCUUCUCCCAGUACUCAACACCAGGUAACUGACUGAUCAUGUUUGUCUUUAAGGGGAUACAUAUAGUACAUAUAACGGAUAAUGUAUUGUCCAAUGUCUGUUCUAAAACCCCAGAGGCAGUGAAGAGAGACGGGACAUGCAGGUAGAGAGGACGCAUUAGAAGGGUGUGGGUUGGGAUUCAAACCUGGCAACUAUCUGUUCUGAAGGCAGCACCAGUAACCACUAGACCACCCCAGGCUGUAGUUUGUAUAAAGGCUGUGCUGUA
ensembl:lncRNA